rnacentral:rRNA from 1 species
GACAGAGGGUGCAAACGUUGUUCGGAAUUACUGGGCGUAAAGCGGGUGUAGGCGGUCUCGUAAGUCGGGGGGGAAAGCCCUGGGCUCAACCCAGGAAGUGCACUCGAAACUGCGAGGCUAGAGUACUGGAGAGGUUGGUGGAAUUCUCGGUGUAGAGGUGAAAUUCGUAGAUAUCGAGAGGAACACCGGUGGCGAAGGCGGCCAACUGGACAGAUACUGACGCUGAGACUCGAAAGCGUGGGGAGCAAACAGG